AGUGGCGAACGGGUGAGUAAUACUGGAGUAAUCUACCCCGAAGCGGGGCACAACAUCGAGAAAUCGGUGCUAAUUCCCCGUACGCUCCAGAGGACGCGAGUCCUUUGGAGGAAAGGCGGCCUCUACUUGUAAGCUGUCGCUUUGGGAUGAGCUCUUGGCCUAUCAGCUUGUUGGCGGGGUAACGGCCCACCAAGGCAACGACGGGUAGCCGGCCUGAGAGGGCGAUCGGCCACACGGGCACUGCGACACGGGCCCGACUCCUACGGGAGGCAGCAGUCUAGAAAAUUGCACAAUGGGCGCAAGCCUGAUGCAGCGACGCCGCGUGCGGGAUGAAGUCUUUCGGGAUGUAAACCGCUGACAGGGGGGACGAUGACAAUGAUGGCUAAUAUCCAUUGUUGUUGACGGUACCCCCAAAGGAAGCACCGGCUAACUACGUGCCAGCAGCCGCGGUAAUACGUAGGGUGCAAGCGUUGCCCGGAUUCACUGGGCGUAAAGGGUGCGUAGGCGGAUCUUUAAGUCGAUUGUGAAAUCUCCGGGCUCAACCCGGAAACUGCGGGCGAUACUGGAGAUCUAAAGGACAAAAGGGGAAACGGAACUCCUGGGGUACCGGAAAAUGCGGGGAUAUCAGGAGAACGCCUAUGGGAAAGCACCUUCUGGGAUGUUCCUGACCCUGAACCCAAAGCUAGGGACCAACGGAUUAAAACCCGGUAUCUUACCCAAAC
rnacentral:rRNA from 1 species